rnacentral:rRNA from 1 species
UCGAGAAUCUUCGGCAAUGGCCGCAAGUCUGACCGAGCGACGCCGCGUGCGGGAUGAAGGCCUUCGGGUUGUAAACCGCUGUCAGAGGGGAUGAAAUUUUGACAUAUCCUCAGAGGAAGGACGGGCUAAGUUCGUGCCAGCAGCCGCGGUAAGACGCACCGUCCAAACGUUAUUCGGUAUUACUGGGCUUAAAGGGUGCGUAGGCGGCCUGUUAAGUUGGGUGUGAAAUCCCUCGGCUCAACCGAGGAACUGCGCCCAAAACUAGCAGGCUUGAGGGAGUCAGAGGUGAGCGGAACUCAGGGUGGAGCGGUGAAAUGCGUUGAUAUCCUGGGGAACACCGGUUGCGAAAGCGGCUCACUGGGGCUCUACUGACGCUGAGGCACGAAAGCUAGGGGAGCAAACGG